GUAUGAGAUGGACCCGCGUCUGAUUAGCUGGUUGGCGGGGUAACGGCCCACCAAGGCGACGAUCAGUAGCCGACCUGAGAGGGUGGCCGGCCACAUUGGGACUGAGACACGGCCCAAACUCCUACGGGAGGCAGCAGUGGGGAAUAUUGCACAAUGGGGGAAACCCUGAUGCAGCAACGCCGCGUGAGUGAAGAAGUAUUUCGGUAUGUAAAGCUCUAUCAGCAGGGAAGAAAAAAGACGGUACCUGACUAAGAAGCCCCGGCUAACUACGUGCCAGCAGCCGCGGUAAUACGUAGGGGGCAAGCGUUAUCCGGAUUUACUGGGUGUAAAGGGAGCGUAGACGGCAUAGCAAGUCUGAAGUGAAAGCCCGUGGCUCAACCGCGGAACUGCUUUGGAAACUGUUAAGCUGGAGUACUGGAGAGGCAAGCGGAAUUCCUAGUGUAGCGGUGAAAUGCGUAGAUAUUAGGAGGAACACCAGUGGCGAAGGCGGCUUGCUGGACAGAGACUGACGUUGAGGCUCGAAAGCGUGGGGAGCAAACAGGAUUAGAUACCCUGGUAGUCCACGCGGUAAACGAUGAAUGCUAGGUGUUGGCGGGCAAAGCCCGUCG
rnacentral:rRNA from 1 species